rnacentral:rRNA from 1 species
CUUGCUCCCUGAUGUUAGCGGCGGACGGGUGAGUAACACGUGGGUAACCUGCCUGUAAGACUGGGAUAACUCCGGGAAACCGGGGCUAAUACCGGAUGGUUGUUUGAACCGCAUGGUUCAGACAUAAAAGGUGGCUUCGGCUACCACUUACAGAUGGACCCGCGGCGCAUUAGCUAGUUGGUGAGGUAACGGCUCACCAAGGCAACGAUGCGUAGCCGACCUGAGAGGGUGAUCGGCCACACUGGGACUGAGACACGGCCCAGACUCCUACGGGAGGCAGCAGUAGGGAAUCUUCCGCAAUGGACGAAAGUCUGACGGAGCAACGCCGCGUGAGUGAUGAAGGUUUUCGGAUCGUAAAGCUCUGUUGUUAGGGAAGAACAAGUGCCGUUCAAAUAGGGCGGCACCUUGACGGUACCUAACCAGAAAGCCACGGCUAACUACGUGCCAGCAGCCGCGGUAAUACGUAGGUGGCAAGCGUUGUCCGGAAUUAUUGGGCGUAAAGGGCUCGCAGGCGGUUUCUUAAGUCUGAUGUGAAAGCCCCCGGCUCAACCGGGGAGGGUCAUUGGAAACUGGGGAACUUGAGUGCAGAAGAGGAGAGUGGAAUUCCACGUGUAGCGGUGAAAUGCGUAGAGAUGUGGAGGAACACCAGUGGCGAAGGCGACUCUCUGGUCUGUAACUGACGCUGAGGAGCGAAAGCGUGGGGAGCGAACAGGA